CGGCUAUGAUGACCCAGAACAUUUCUCGAUUCUGAUAAGGACCAAAGCAAAUGUAUUGCUCUUUGAUGACAGUGUUUGUGCGUGUCUGAGCCUU